rnacentral:rRNA from 1 species
GACGAACGCUGGCGGCGUGCCUAAUACAUGCAAGUAGAACGCUGAAGGAGGAGCUUGCUUCUCUGGAUGAGUUGCGAACGGGUGAGUAACGCGUAGGUAACCUGCCUGGUAGCGGGGGAUAACUAUUGGAAACGAUAGCUAAUACCGCAUAAUAUUGACUAUUGCAUGAUAGUCAGUUGAAAGGUGCAACUGCACCACUACCAGAUGGACCUGCGUUGUAUUAGCUAGUUGGUGGGGUAACGGCUCACCAAGGCGACGAUACAUAGCCGACCUGAGAGGGGGAUCGGCCACACUGGGACUGAGACACGGCCCAGACUCCUACGGGAGGCAGCAGUAGGGAAUCUUCGGCAAUGGACGGAAGUCUGACCGAGCAACGCCGCGUGAGUGAAGAAGGUUUUCGGAUCGUAAAGCUCUGUUGUAAGAGAAGAACGAGUGUGGGAGUGGAAAGCUCACACUGUGACGGUAUCUUACCAGAAAGGGACGGCUAACUACGUG